UAAGGUGAAUCGGGAGAACUGGAUUUUCCAGUGCCGAAGGAGCAACCGCCCCGGAAACUCUCAGGCCAACGGGACCGACCACCGACA
rnacentral:ncRNA from 1 species